rnacentral:lncRNA from 1 species
UCAGAAAGUAACUCAUAAGAAAAUGCCUGGGAAGUGUCUUAGCGAGUUUCUCUAUUGCAAGUCAGUUUCACUAGUUUCAUUGCCUGCAGGGUGCAAUGAAACUGUCCUUCGUACAGGAUAACUGUAGGAAGUUCUGGGUAAUCCUGUAAUCUUCAUGAGAUAUGGAAUUGACAAAAGGAUUACAAUAUCACAGGUGAGAAGCUAUUUAACUCCAUUGAGCUAUUACCUGUUAUUGUUAUUCAGUCGCUUCUUUGUGACCCAUGGAGCUAUCACCUAGUCCAGAGGUUUAUCAAACUUUUUAUCUUAAGCAAAAUAUUUGUAAGUAGGAACAGUAGAGGAUUCUUUUUUUUUUUUUAAUCACACACAUACAUUUUAACUGCCAAAGUUCUUUGACUUCCAUAGUUUCAUCACAUAAUUCUGAACAACAUUUUUAAGAUUUUUCUUUCCCUGUUAAAAACACAGGUUAGAUAGAGAUGCGGAGGUGAAAGAUAUCCAGCAGUAUUCUGAAAAGGUCCAUACUUCUCUUUAUGAGUGUUCCUUUGAGUCUUUGCCAUUGUGUCUCCUUCACAAAAAAGGAAAACAUUCCUCAAAGGAAACAGUAGGGGAAUUCUUAACACAUAAAACAUUGAGCCGAUUAAGCAGAGCUGUGUUGGUGGAAACCAGACUGGGCAUCAGAAGGAGAUUUGGGGAGGGAAGAGGAUGCCAGAGGAUGCUCUUGCAGGGACCUCUGGGAUUUAGAGCUUAAAGUCUAAGCACUGUGGCACCAUCCAACCCCAUGUCACAAAGGUCCAGAAGCUUGAGUUCUGAGAUGCUGAAAGACUUGCCCAAAGUUACACAGUCAGGAGGGUGGCAUUAAACUGGACUCAACACUCCAAACUUCUAGUUCAGAAGUUUCCCAUAACAGUGAGCCAAUGACUGAUCUUCCCUUCAAUGUUUAUUUUUCCUAAUUUGAAAACUCAGGAAGUGUAGGGAGUAUAAGGGAAAAAUGAAAUCCACCUAAAAUCCUAUCAACCAGAAAAAUGUACAUGCUAUAUUUCCAGUAUAAUCUUGACUUCAAGACUCUUAGACAUACUUGACUUUUCUCAGGUUGAUUCAAAUGUGUGGUUGAUUCUGAGACAGUGAAUACAGAGAAUCGAAUGUCCCAGAC